rnacentral:rRNA from 1 species
CCUACGGGAGGCAGCAGUGGGGAAUAUUGGACAAUGGGCGCAAGCCUGAUCCAGCAAUGCCGCGUGUGUGAAAGAAGGCCUGCGGGUUGUAAAGCACUUUCAGUAGAGAAGAAAAGCCUAGGGUUAAUUACCCCUGAGUCUACGUAACCUACAGAAAGAAGCUCCGGCUAACUCCGUGCCAGCAGCCGCGGUAAUACGGAGGGAGCGAGCGUUAAUCGGAAUUACUGGGCGUAAAGCG